rnacentral:lncRNA from 1 species
GAAGAUCCAAAUACACAUAUUUAAAUUAAAGUCCCAAACAACAUGAUACAAUACAACAAGCCAUCCACUGGUUAUUAUCAAGGAGGACUUUAAGCAUCCUUGGACGGUGAAGACGAAGGUUCUGCUGACCCAACCUCAUCCUUAGGUUUAUUUGUGCCGCUUGAAACGGUAGUACUAAGUGGACGUGAAACACCCGGGACUGAGGGUGGAGCAUAACGACCACCAAAAGGAGGUUCCUGACCCGCGGCAAUAGCUUCUUCAUGAUGUUGCUGCAAAUAACGAAGCAUUGCUUUUUCCAGCGCGCUCUUUUUCUUUGGCUUAUGCUGAGGGCCAACUAUGAUUGGAACCUUGCCGAAAUAGGAACCACGAUCACCC